GAUGAACGCUGGCGGCGUGCCUAAUACAUGCAAGUCGAGCGAACGGACGAGAAGCUUGCUUCUCUGAUGUUAGCGGCGGACGGGUGAGUAACACGUGGAUAACCUACCUAUAAGACUGGGAUAACUUCGGGAAACCGGAGCUAAUGCCGGAUAAUAUUUUGAACCGCAUGGUUCAAAAGUGAAAGACGGUCUUGCUGUCACUUAUAGAUGGAUCCGCGCUGCAUUAGCUAGUUGGUAAGGUAACGGCUUACCAAGGCAACGAUGCAUAGCCGACCUGAGAGGGUGAUCGGCCACACUGGAACUGAGACACGGUCCAGACUCCUACGGGAGGCAGCAGUAGGGAAUCUUCCGCAAUGGGCGAAAGCCUGACGGAGCAACGCCGCGUGAGUGAUGAAGGUCUUCGGAUCGCAAAACUCUGUUAUUAGGGAAGAACAUAUGUGUAAGUAACUGUGCACAUCUUGACGGUACCUAAUCAGAAAGCCACGGCUAACUACGUGCCAGCAGCCGCGGUAAUACGUAGGUGGCAAGCGUUAUCCGGAAUUAUUGGGCGUAAAGCGCGCGUAUGCGGUUUUUUAGUCUGAUGUGAAAGCCCACGGCUCAACCGUGGAGGGUCAUUGGAAACUGGAAAACUUGAGUGCAGAAGAGGAAAGUGGAAUUCCAUGUGUAGCGGUGAAAUGCGCAGAGAUAUGGAGGAACACCAGUGGCGAAGGCGACUUUCUGGUCUGUAACUGACGCUGAUGUGCGAAAGCGUGGGGAUCAAACAGGAUUAGAUACCCUGGUAGUCCACGCCGUAAACGAUGAGUGCUAAGUGUUAGGGGGUUUCCGCCCCUUAGUGCUGCAGCUAACGCAUUAAGCACUCCGCCUGGGGAGUACGACCGCAAGGUUGAAACUCAAAGGAAUUGACGGGGACCCGCACAAGCGGUGGAGCAUGUGGUUUAAUUCGAAGCAACGCGAAGAACCUUACCAAAUCUUGACAUCCUUUGACAACUCUAGAGAUAGAGCUUUCCCCUUCGGGGGACAAAGUGACAGGUGGUGCAUGGUUGUCGUCAGCUCGUGUCGUGAGAUGUUGGGUUAAGUCCCGCAACGAGCGCAACCCUUAAGCUUAGUUGCCAUCAUUAAGUUGGGCACUCUAAGUUGACUGCCGGUGACAAACCGGAGGAAGGUGGGGAUGACGUCAAAUCACCAUGCCCCUUAUGAUUUGGGCUACACACGUGCUACAAUGGACAAUACAAAGGGCAGCGAAACCGCGAGGUCAAGCAAAUCCCAUAAAGUUGUUCUCAGUUCGGAUUGUAGUCUGCAACUCGACUACAUGAAGCUGGAAUCGCUAGUAAUCGUAGAUCAGCAUGCUACGGUGAAUACGUUCCCGGGUCU
rnacentral:rRNA from 1 species